rnacentral:rRNA from 1 species
GACGAACGCUGGCGGCGUGCUUAACACAUGCAAGUCGAACGGAAAGGCCCUGCUUUUGUGGGGUGCUCGAGUGGCGAACGGGUGAGUAACACGUGAGUAACCUGCCCUUGACUUUGGGAUAACUUCAGGAAAGUGGGGCUAAUACCGGAUAGGAGCUCCUGCUGCAUGGUGGGGGUUGGAAAGUUUCGGCGGUUGGGGAUGGACUCGCGGCUUAUCAGCUUGUUGGUGGGGUAGUGGCUUACCAAGGCUUUGACGGGUAGCCGGCCUGAGAGGGUGACCGGCCACAUUGGGACUGAGAUACGGCCCAGACUCCUACGGGAGGCAGCAGUGGGGAAUAUUGCACAAUGGGCGGAAGCCUGAUGCAGCAACGCCGCGUGCGGGAUGACGGCCUUCGGGUUGUAAACCGCUUUCGCCUGUGACGAAGCGUGAGUGACGGUAAUGGGUAAAGAAGCACCGGCUAACUACGUG